UGCGAACGGGUCGAGUAAUAUAUCGGAACGUACCCAAGAGUGGGGGAUAACGUAGCGAAAGUUACGCUAAUACCGCAUACGAUCUAAGGAUGAAAGCAGGGGACCGCAAGGCCUUGUGCUCCUGGAGCGGCCGAUAUCUGAUUAGCUAGUUGGUGAGGUAAAGGCUC
rnacentral:rRNA from 1 species